UCUCUCUCUCUCUCUCUCUCUCUCUCUCUCUCUCUCUCUUCGUUAGACCCACCCUCUGCUCCGCCUCUCCCUCGCACUCCGGCGACGUCCUUUCGUCCCUCAGUCUCAUCUCACUUCCUAAAGGCAGAAAUGCAGAGCUUUCAGCUUUCCCAUAUUGUAGUUACUAAACCGCGUUAAAUCGUCAGAGAAUAGUACGCCAUCUGGCGAAAUGAGGCGGCGAAGAGCAAGGAUAAACCGGGCCUGAAAAAAGGGUGCGGGGAAAUUUCUUUGCUCAUUCAGACAAGUUCAAAUAGAGAAAGUUCACACGAUUGCUGGAAAUGUUUUUCUUACCCAUUGAAAUCCCACGAGUGCACACCAGCAGCCUGGCAGACCGUAUCCUCUACUGCUGACAAGCUGUCAAGGAAAAAGUAAAAAAGAAGAAAAAAACAAGUAUUGUUAAUGGCUUAAGUAAGUAACUUAAGAGGUUGAUGGAAGAGAAAUUUAUUUAUUUGUUGGGUUUGUUCUCUUUUUGCUA